AGAGUUUGAUCCUGGCUCAGAACGAACGCUGGCGGCAUGCCUAACACAUGCAAGUCGGACGCUCACGAGGGUUUCGGCCCUUGUGGGAGUGGCGGACGGGUGAGUAGCGCGUGGGAACCUGCCUUGGAGUGGGGGAUAACCGAGGGAAACUUCGGCUAAUACCGCAUACGCCCCGACGCAAGUCGGGGGAAAGAUUGAUC
rnacentral:rRNA from 1 species